rnacentral:lncRNA from 1 species
AGCCGACAUCCUUCUCAGGAGAUGAGGAAGGAAGACAUCUAGUUGCUAGCUUUGUCAUGCUAAUGAAGGAGAGCCGUUUGUCGAAGAUCCUAGAUCCUGUUGUGGCCAAUGAAGCGAAGGCUGAGGAGGUUCUUCUAGUAGCAAUGCUUGCCAUGAGGUGUUUGAAAAUGAAUGGGAGAAAGAGGCCUCCCAUGAGAGAGGUUGCCAUGGAGCUUGAAGGACUAAGGAAAUCUCAAAGUUUCUCUCAGACCAGCCAAAAUCCUUUGUGCAUUUGAAGAUGGACUACUGGAUGAAGCCAGUGAAGAAUCGAUAGAUAGCACGUCCAUGUCACUUGAAGUUGUAUCAAUCUCUGUAGAGACAUUGAGCUAGAACAUUCGGUGUUCAUACUGAACUUGCUGUUUCUUUAUUCUAGACAGCUUUGGGGGUAGUGCGUGUCGCAUGGAGUUAGCAGCAGCAAUUAUUAAAAUCACCAGAAGAUACCUUUCAGUUAAAUGAUUCUCUUUUACUUUACUUCAGCUUGAUGUUUUUCUUAAGCACUAGAUACCUAAGCAAACUUUAUUCAAAAGAUUUGCUGUCAAUUAAGGUGGGAGAUUGCAUUUCCAUGGAUCAAUAAUAAUGGUUAAUUAUCUUUGCAUUAGGUGAUUGAUUCAGUUCUCUUUUUCCCAAUCACUGAUGCAUGAUGCUCUGGAUAUUUUUCACACCGGCUACAUCAUAUACUAUUGUUUCUGAUCCCUUCUACAGACUUUUCAUAUGCACACAUCAACUUUGUGAGCAACUUGCUGGAGAAUAUCUAGCGAAUAUGUUGAAGCUGCUCACAUUCCUCAAUCUCCUUUGAAUAACGGGCGAUGUUGGUAUUGAAGCCUUGUGCUUUUAUCUAUCAAGUUCUAUAACAUUGUUUAUGUCCUAUGGGACAGCCAGACUUGGCCUCAUAUUGCAACUUCCGCAUUUCCAAAUUGCUUCUUGACAAAAUCCAUAGCGUAAGUAGUAUAGAAUUAUUGACAAGUCCAUACUAAAAACAACAGCACUUUUAUAGCUUUAACACAUCUAUCAUGAGAUACGGUUUCUUCGGAAGAUGCAUCACUGUUCGAUAUCAAUCAAGUUGUCCUGUUUACUGACAUGAUCCUCAGUGUAAUAGUUGGACUCUCUCUUGACUUGGCGGUGGGUCCACUUGGUUUUUAAAAACAAAACAAAAUAAGUUGAAAAGUCAACAAAAGAAGGAAAGUGAACUUCAGCUAUUUAAAGAAAAAAGGGCGCGCUUGGGAAAGAGAGCUCACCGAGAAAGUAAGGAGAAAAGAAAAAGGGUUUCUCUUAUACAUGUCUUUGGAACCUCGCCAAACCAACUCGACUCUGUAACGCAACAUUGGGUAACGCAAUGCUGGGUAAGAGCUUAAACCUCUCGUUCGUCUAAUCGAAGUAUUUUCAAGGUUUAGGACUCAAAUUCAUAAUUUUGGGAAAAUCUAGUGACAAAGUCCCAUUUUCGAGUUAUUGAGUCACGUAUUUUUGUAAAAAUGAUAGUUUAUGGUGUUGUGGAGCUGUAGGAUUUUAUGGAUCGUGAUUUGAGCUUACGGUUUGUCUGAAACAAAAUUUCGAAAUUUCUUAUGUGCGAUGAGCACUGCGCAUCCAGCAGUUUUGGGCCUGUAUUUUGUCAUUUUUUGGCUCGAUUCUGGGAGGUCAAGUUGGGAUCCUUGCAGUAUGUUUGAAGGGCUUUCUACUAACUGUAAUUACGUUCGAAACGAAAUCUGAAGGAGAAAGUUAUGGCGUAGUCAAAUUUUGCACUCAAACUCCGCGUUACGAAUGGUCUGAAUAAUCACUUUGAAUAUGCGAUUUGUUAGUGCGUAGGAGUUGUUUUGUUAGCAUUAAGACGUAGUUUAGUCAUUUUGUGGUUAAAGUGGAUUUUUAUUUAAUUUUAAUAUUAUUCAUUGAUUAUUUGAUAGGGUCGCGAGUUCAAUAAUACAAGUAUCGUUUAUUAUUUGGUCGUAGGUAACGAGGUCAGUGGCACUAUAUCUUUUUUUUGAAUUUGUAAAACUCAUGUUUCAAAAAUAUUACGGAUAUAUAUAUACUAUUUAGCACCGACACGCAACAUGUGACAUGACAUGACAUGACAUGCGACACCUCAUUUCUCAAAAAGUAAAGAAUUUCAACACGUUCCGAUAUGUUAAAUAUUAAAUAAUUAUUUUUAUUUUUAAUUAAUUUGAUUUAAAUUCAUAAAUAAUUAAUUAAUUAAAAAAAAGAGCCUAUAAUGAAUUUACACUAAUAAUAUUAAUAAAUUAAUUCAUUGGAAAUUCAAAAGUCAUAUUCAUAAUUAAUACGUAUCCAUGUUUGGAAAUAUGUUUUUAACUUUAACAAAAGUUAUUAAUAAAGCUGAUGACUAACAAGAAAUUAGAAUCAACUUGUUUAAAUAAAUUUAUGAUUUUUUUACAAUGAUCAAAAUUUAAUAUCAUUUAAAAUUUAGUACUUUUAUAUUUUUAAAAUUAUUUUUUUAAUUUUAUUUAUUUAUUUUUUCCAAUUAAAAAAAAGUUUCGCCCCACUCCCAAAUUUAUUUCAAUUUUUUCCCUCCCUCCCCCACAAGAGACUAUUCCCCCCCUCCUAAAUUUAUUUCAAUUUUUUUCCCUACCUUCCCACGUCAGACUAUUUCCCUCCACCCUAAAUUUAUUUCACUCUUUUCCCCUCCCCCACCCACGUGACAGGCUGUCACCGACUCACUUCACCCCAUUGAGUUUCCAAAAUCCUAGCUACCGAAACACUUUUUUCCUUCACCGCACGACCUCGCAACCCCUUCCUCUCCUCACUUUUUCCCCCUCGCCACACGGUCUUCCUCUUGAUCCAUCUCCAUCUCCUCGCCGCACGACCUCCAUAUGACCCCCUCCUCUCCUCUUCCUCUCAAUCCUUCUCCUCCUCCUCCACCUCGCCUUUGGCCCUUCCUCACUUGCAGUUGCAGCCUCGUCGUUGAUCCCGUAGCAUCACUGUGGCCACCCUCGCCUCAGUCUCUACUCUUUCUCUGGCAGUUUCUCGCCGUCGCGGGCUCGCCGUUGCUCGUGGCCUCAUCUCUCCUUUCUCGCCCUCGCUUCCAUCCGACACGUGUGUUGAGUUGAGACGAGUCGAAAAAAGUUGACUACGUGUCAGAAAACUUGACAUGCGUUGACCGUGUGUCGAGCGUGUCCAAGUGUGUCGACAUAUGUUGGACACGACAUGGAAGCACGGACAACGUGUCGGUGCUUCAUAGUAUAUAUAUAUGGGCAUGGUCAUUGCAUAAAAGGCGACUUGAGCAUUUGCUAUUCUUUGGUUGAUUAUGAAUGUUUCAAAAGCGUGUUAUACCAAGUUUGUGGAGUAAUAUAUAUAUGAAAAUUGCUUUGCGAUUGGUUUAUGGAAAUAUUUAUGAUGAUUGGAGAAAUGGAUCGAAAAUGGCAGAUAGCUAUGUUGUGAAAAGUUAUUUGCUUGAUUUAUAAGAUUGAUUUUGCUGGUAUUUGAGGAUGCUUGUUUAUACUUAAUAUGACUGUGAACCCGAUUAAGGGUUUUUGGAGUAUACAUACCAAGCUUAAGAUAUCACUCUAGGCUGAGCCACCAGUUUUGCAGGAGAAGACCUUGCCAAAGGGGUUGUCACCAAGUGUUGUGUUGUGACCAUGGUAGGAUAUUGAGCAAUUAAUUAGUCAAUGGAAGAACCAUUGAUGAUAUGUGAUAUUUGGUGGAGAUUAUUCAAUGGACUUGACCAAUCAAACUUGAAUUGUAAUGGUGGUUUAAAUGAGUUUUUCACAUUGGUAUAAAGCCUUGAUAAUAAGAAAUAAUUCUUAUAUGAUUCAAUAUUUAUUUUAUGUAUUGAGCUUGAAUUAUGAAUUUUGGUAUUACUUUGUAUACAUGCAUAGUAGUUGUUCGAUCUGCUUAGAUGAUAUAUACUAGUCACUAAGAUGUAAUUUCUCAUUCCACUCGUCCUUCAGUCCUUUUAGGUUCCUUGGUUAGCGACAAGUAGAGUGAGUGCGAUGUUGGUGGGAAAUUUUUGGGAGUGCUAUUUUUGGUAUGGUUUAAAGAAGUGGUGUACAUAGUUGUUGCUGAUAAUGCUAGUAUAAACACCUAGAGGGGGAUGAAUAGGUGUUAAAGAAGUUUUUGCAAGACUUAACAACUUAAUUCGACUUAUAUGAAAACGGUAGAUUGAAUAUAUAAAAUAUUGUAAACUGAUAUAUAAGACUGCGAAUUAAGUAAAGAGAUUAGGGAAAGACAAUUGAAACACAAGGUUUAUAGUGAUUCGUCUUAGACCAAGCCUACGUCUAUUCUCCCGCACUAACAGCCCACUAGUUGGAUUCCACUAAGAACCAAAAGAGAUUUUAUAUUGUCAUGUCCUUGAUUCCACAAUGUAGAGACUCUACUACACUUCCUCAAGGUCUCACAAGUAUUUGAUCUCUCUUUUAAGUACAGUUUAAACUCGACAAAUUGUAACGGCAAAGAACUAAGAGUUUCAGAUUUUGGAAAUUUUCUUUCAUACAUACACUCGAAUAACUUGAGCGUCCUCCUUAUAUAAUCCUCCAUGCCAUCAUAACCGUUGGUACCUUCCAAAUGAGUUCUUCCAAUCUUCCCGUUGGACAAAAUCAAUUAGGAAAAUCUUGAGUUGUAGCUCACCAAUCUUGCUCGCCCAUACAAUCAGGAUUUGGGUUUUCAUAAGUAGAACCUUUCAAAUAUACUUCGCCAAUCAACGGAUCUAAAUAUUCAAGUUAAUUUCAAUAAGAAUAAUUGAUCUCCAGCAAUGAGAUCUCUUUCAACCGUACGAAUCAAAUCCUUAAAUAUAUACUUGCAUCUAGAUAAGUCUUCUUCAUCGGAUAAAUCUUUUCUUCGUCGGUCUGGAAACUAUUAGUGAGGGUAGACUUUGAAUCUUGAGUUUGGAGGUCUUCAGACUUUGACAAUAGAGUCUGCAAGUCUUUAGACUAGACUGAUGGAAAUGUUUUGUCAACUUCAAAACAUAUAAGAAAGUUUUCUCCAAUAGUUGCUAGUUGUUGGGUUGGCUGAGUUUUAAUUGUAUAUGUUUUUUUUAGUGGAUUAUAAAAAUUUUGAUAUUGUAAUCAACUUGUUAAUUUAUCUUAUAUGUAUAAAUGGUUUGAGAGAUAUAUAAGUUGUUGGUUAUAUUGAGAUGCAUCCUUCGUCNNNNNNNNNNNNNNNNNNNNNNNNNNNNNNNNNNNNNNNNNNNNNNNNNNNNNNNNNNNNNNNNNNNNNNNNNNNNNNNNNNNNNNNNNNNNNNNNNNNNUGAUACUUAGAAUCCCUGCGAAACUCGGCUUCUUCAAGCCAUGUUUGCAAUGAGAAUUUUGCAUUCUCGAGUUACGACCUAGUCGAUUGAAGAUGAUUGAAUGUAGGGGUUAGAGAUUAAUGGUGUGAUUUGGAAGAAAAUUAGACCAAGCUCAAUUUGGCAUAUUUAAACUUAAUCUUUUAUAUUGAAAUCAAAUGACACUGACGAGUCCCCCGCCGCACUUGGUAUUCAAAUCCACCGCGGCACGUAUGAAUCCAAUUAAUAGCUCUGUGCAGGGCAAGAGCAAGUUUGCAUGUACUGUCCCUGGAUUAAUAGCUUUCUCUCUCUUCUGUUGUUGUUCUUUUCAAUGUUCCUUCAUCAAUGUUUAGUAGCUUUCUACAAAAUUGGAAAGCGUGCUUGUGAUCUAUAUCGACUUCAGUCUCAAGUGGCUAGGCAUAUGUCCAGGAGCUAAUGGUUUUCGAUCUGUUGAGUGAACGCCCGAUGCCUAAUUCAAAAUGUGCAUGAACGUUUUGUUUUCUUUGUGUUAUACUGAAGAGCUGUUGACGUUCAAGUUCCUCAUGAGCUGUUCGAGAUCAUUUGGAGGAUUGUUUGAGGCCAACCGGAUUCUCUUUCCAUUUUCUACAGCUGUUACAUAUUCGAUCUGAUCGGAUUGGACUCACCUGCUUAUUUCCUUUCGCGUUAGCUUGUAACAUCCCAGGUCUCCACUGUACACAUAUUGUCCGCUUUGCACACUAAGUCCUCAUGAUUUUGUUCAUCUCGGGGCAGCCCAUACUACUCCAAGAAAACGCGUAUGUAUAGUUAGAGGAGACCCAAGCCUUAUAAGUUAGCCUAGUACUCUCUCCCUAGGCGAUGUGGGACAAGAGAGGGACUCCUUCCUUGCACACAUCCGAGGACUGUCGCUCUGGCCGUCACACUCUCCACCUCUUGAUAGAACAGCAUCUUCGCUGUGGCCCAACACGAGGUCGGGAGUCAGAACAGCAUUCUUGCUAUGGUCCCACAUGCGGUCGGGAGUCGGCUCUGAUACCACUUGUAACAGCCUGGGCCCCAUUGUGUAAUAUNNNNNNNNNNNNNNNNNNNNNNNNNNNNNNNNNNNNNNNNNNNNNNNNNNNNNNNNNNNNNNNNNNNNNNNNNNNNNNNNNNNNNNNNNNNNNNNNNNNNACUCAAUCUCGGUGUCUUACGAUGUAUAUAUCUCCCUAUGCGUCGUGGCUUUUGCAGAGCUCGCCCCUCCCGCGCUCUCAUCUGGCCCUUCCCUUCAUUCUCAUGGCAUCUGUUCGCUCGGCCUUGCGAGGGAUACUGAGGGCCUGUGCUUGACAGAGCCAGAGAGAGAGAGAGAGAGAGAGAGAGAGAGAGAGAGAGAGAGAGAGAGAGAGAGAGAGAGAGAGAGAGAGAGAGAAUUGAAAUUAAAAAAAUUUGUUUAUGUUGACUAUGUCACGUAAAACAAUUGGCAUUAACGUUAACAAUUUUUGACUAAAAUUGACUGAAUUAACUUAAUUAAUAAAAUAUGAAAAUUUUUAAGACUCAAUUCAUAAAAUUAAAAUGUUUAUAACUGAAUUGGCAAAUGUUCAAUAAAUUAAAGACUUUUUGGACCUCGAAGCUUACCCAAUUAGUAAAGGUGUCAAAAUGGGUUAUGGACUCAUUUUUUUAUUCAUAUUUUAUUUAUAUAGGUUAUAUAUGGGUGAAAGACUUUUAAAAAUCCAACUAAAACUCGGUUCACAAACUGAGUCUAAUUUAAAUGGGCCAGAUAACCCAUUUUCGAUCCAUUUAAAAUAUCAAGUGGGUUAGAACAGAACCUAUUUCCAAGGUUCCAAUCCAUGCCUCACACACUUUUUUCCCUCUUUAACUUUAUAAAAGUGUUUUCUAUAAAAAUCAAAAUUAUAAUUAUCUUUUAUGUUUCAUUUAUUUCUUUAUUUCUUUUUCCUUUAUUUUUUCUUCCUCCUUCCUUAUCUAGUGGUCGACAUGGCGAUGGCUAGCAAUGAGCCAGGCGAGGCUUGAGCUUGCUAGCCUCAUGUGAGCUCGACAACGACAGCCUCACUAAUCGUUAGUGAGGCCUUGGCCUCACCAGAUCAAGCUUGUUAGCAUCAGGUGAGCUCAAGUCUCACCAAAUUCAACAAGGCCAAGCUCACCCAACACUUGGCGAGGCUCGAUCUCAUUGAUCUGGCAAGGUUGAGGCCUUGCCUAUGACUAGUGGGACUCAAGCUUGAGCCUCAUUAGAUCUAGCGAGACUCAAUCUCAUCCGAUACCGGUGAGCUCAAGUCCCACCAAUCCGGCCAAGCCGAGCUCGCCUGACAUCUAACAAGGCUUGAUCUUGCUAAUCUGGUGCAUUCGUGGCCUAGCUGAUGACUAGUGAGGCUAUGACAUCUCAGAAUGUCACCCAACAUGUGUUUCUCACAUUAUUGCUUUCCUUAUUGUGUGGAAGCGAAUAUUCUUCUACUUCUUUUAUUUAUACCACAUGUGAAUUCACAACUUCAUUACAUUUUGAGCAAAAGACAAAAGUUUGAGUAUGGGUUGGGAGAUCUAUAUACAGACUAUACUAUACCUUCAAAAGUCUGCUUAUGCAAAUGAUCAGACUGAGUCACAGGUUGAUAACGUCUCCCUCUACGGUGUCUCCAACGUCCACAUCGAAGUUACUCAACGGACGGACUAACUCUCCAUCAAGAUUCCGGUACCAAAUAACGAACCAGAAAGAAACCCAUUCUGCGAAGCCUCCUAUGUCAACCCAUAUUGUAGAACUACACUUAGUAUAUAUUAUUGCAAAUUCUAGUUCAAGCACACUUUCAUGAAAAGCGUCAUUAUACAUAGGGACUCCAUAGUGUAAGGGGUUAAGGGAUGUCCAUCCUACACAUCUAAAAAAUAAAAGAGAUGAGCUGAAACCCAUUAAAUGAAAUCUCUAGUUUUAACUUAGAAAAAUCAUCAUAUCACUUCACUUGAUAUACACAAAAUGAAUGUAUAAUCAUCCGACAAAUAUGAUACCAACAUAAACAAACUUUACCUUUUAUGUUCAUCUACUAUAGAAAUUGUCAACCAAUAGAAUGUCCAUCUAGACUUAUGCAUGUGCAUACUAUGUUUCACACAAUGAUUUGGGUUUAUACAUAAUAAUUCAUUUGAUUAAUUAAUGAUUCAUCCUUCUGAACACUCUCAGGGCAUCUCAAUUAUGAAGCAUCCUGCAAACUUCCAUCACAGGAUAUCUCGACCUAUGGGGCAUCUCGAUUCCCAAGGCAUCCUGAAACAAUUCCCGGAGCAUCCCAACACAUGGGGCAUCAUCACUCGCCACUAUAUGGGUAACGAAAUCAAAUAAGUCUCAUUUAAGCCAUAAUAUAAACACACUCACAAGUAUAACAUACAUAUCUCAACUUAAUUUAAUACAUUUAUCAAAAAACCACAUAUGAAAUAACACACUAACGUAUUAUGGUUAUUAAGAUCUUGACAUUCAAAUGAGUAUAAUUUGAGUUUGGAUAUUGAGCAGGUUCUGGACAUCAAAAUCUGGUAAAUCAAAUGAGUAUAUUCUAAAUUGGAAUAAAUAAGUACAUUUUAGAGAUAAGAUCUGAACAAUCAAAAGUAAAUUCUUGCUUGAUAAAAGCUCAUAGAACAAAAUAACAAACUUACAAAUAGACAGAUUUAGUAAUGGAUAGAAUCAAUAGAUGAAUUGAUUCAAUAAGAAGUAGAUUCAUAUUCAAUAAAGUUCGCAUGAACCAAUAAACAUACCAUCUAACAAACAGAUUCACAAAUUGGUAGAUUCAGCAAAUGAACAUAUUCACCAUUGAACAUAUUCGAGCAAACUCACAAAUGGACAAAUUCCAUCUUAGGAAAUUCUAGUAGAAACAAGUGAAACAAAUAGAUUCUAACUGGUAGAAUUCUAGCAUAAUGAAUCUAAAUAAAUAUGCAAUAGAUCAUCAAGAUAAUUGCAGUAGAAUGACUAGAUUCUUACUACUCAUAAUGAAGUAAAAUGAACAUACAAUGGGUUAUUAAGACAAAUAUGAUAGAAUGACCAAAUUCCAACCACCUAAAAUGAGGCAGAAAGAAGCAGAACGAACAUAUAAUAAGUCAUUAAGACUAAUAUAGCAGAAUGACUAGAUUUUAGCUACUUAGAAUGAGGUAGAAAGAGGGAAAACGAACAUGUAAUGGAUUAUCAAGACAAACGCAUCAUAAUAACUAAAUUCUAACUAUUCAUAAUGAGGUAGAAAGAAGCAGAACAAACAUGCAAUAAGUUAUCAAGACAAAGAUGGCAUAAUAGCCAAAUUCUAACUAUUCAGAAAGAGGCCGAAUGAACAUGCAAUGGAUUAUUAAGACAAAUAUAGUAUAAUAACUAGAUUCUAAUUACCCAAACGAGAUUGAAAGAAGCAUAACAAAUAUGCAAUAAGUCAUCCAGACAAAGAUAGCAGAAUAACUAUAUUCUAACUAUCUAGAAUAAGGUAAAAAGAAGCAUAGCAGAUAUGCAAUGGAUUACCAAUACAAAGAUAGUAAAACGACCAGAUUCUAACUACCUAAAAUGAUGUAGAAAUAGACAAAACGAACAUGUAAUGAGUUAUCAAGGCAAAUAUAGCAUAAUGAUUAUAUUUUAACUACACAUAAUGAGACAUAAAAAAAAAAAAUAGAAUGAGCAUACCAUGAGUUAUCAAGAUAAAUAGAGCAAAAUGAGCACGUUCUUAUCCAAAAUCAAACAGAACGAACCAUAAUGAACUAAAGUAAAGUAAAACGAAUUAGCAAGAAAUUAUCAAGCCACUUAACAAUCACUACACCCACAUCAAGACUUUACAUCUUACCCAAUCAACCAAGAUAGAAGUAACUAAGUAGAUUUAAGCUAACUUAACACUAUAAAUUUCACUUACCUCGAUCGAACACAAACCACAAACUACUAAUUGUUUUCAUCACCCUAGUAGCUCUUGAAUAUGAAAUUUGCUCUCUAAAUUCUUGGAUUGAAAAGUAGAACCAACACAACUGUUUGAGUUUUGGAGGAACGAAAAAAUGAGUUAUUUGGCAAGAUCAAAUGAGUUUUGUUAAAGUUAAUUGAGAUAAUUUAAUUUUUUGCAAUGCUAGGUGUAAAUUUGCAUAUUAAUUCAGCUUAAUGUGGCAAUAACGCAAAGCAAUGCCCUUGCACGUGGCCAAAAAAAAAAAAUGCAUGAAGAGAAAUGAGGCAUUUGGGGAAAAUUUGUGAUUUAAUCAUUUGUGUCAAAAUUAGUAAUAAAAUAUGGUUUGUUGGAGACAUAUGGCCAUGCAAUAUAUGAUAUAAAGACAAGUGGCACUUAAAAAUUCAAAUUAAUAAAUCUUCGCAAGGUAAACAUAGUAGGUUACGUAGCCUCUUCCCACAACCUUCAUUUGCAUUGAUUAAUUCUUUUAUCAAGAAUUAACUAAGUUUACACAAUUUACAACACUCAUAAACUAUUAUGACAACAAUAAUUUAAUUAAUACUGUUAUGUUAUUAGUACACAUAUAACUUGAUUCACACAUCAAACCUGAAACAAUAUUAAAGUUUCUGUAUGCUUGUCCAAAUACUAAAAAAAAUAAUACUUAACUCAAAAUCUAAGUAUUAUUAUGAUAACACGAAUUUCCGAAUAUUACAUAAUUAUAAAUAUGGAAAUUCCAAAUGUCAUAGAGGCUCGAGCCUCGCCGAUCUACCAAGCUCUGUGGCCAGUCGUUGGCUGUCCUUGUGGUCGGAGGCCAGCUGAAGAAGAAGAAAAAAAAAUUAUAUUUUUAAAAUAAAAAUAAUUAAAAAUUUGAUUUUAAAAAAUAAAAAAUUGAUUUUCUAAAAAAUACUUUUUCAAAAAAUUAUAAAAAUUAUCCAUUAAAUUUGUAUUACAUAAAGUGUUUUAGCAAUAUAAUUUUUUUAAAAAACAAUAGCUUUCUUAGGUUUAAUUAAAGAUUAUUUACGUUGUAGUUUUCAAUUACUCAAUAAGAUGUUCACUUUAGACAAGAGAAGCAUAUGCAUGGUCUAAUUCUUUAUAAAUGCUUCAAUUUAUAGGUUUUUAAACAUUUAUUUUAUUUUAUUUUAUUUUAUAUUUUAUUUUUAAAUUAAUUUGAAAUUUUAAUCCAAUUAGCAUAUAGCUUAAAGUGUGCAUGGAUUUUCUUAGAAUAUCAAUGGAUUUUAGCAACACGGCCAGUCAGGCAUGAGUCAUUGAAUUUACACUAUAUGAAUAUGAAUCAAAAUGAGUUAAAUAAAUCAAAAUAAUUUAAAUAGGUCAAAUAUGACCAAGAGCCUCUCAUUUGCCGAUCUAGCGAGGCUCGAUUGGCGAGUGCGAAGCUUGCCAUAGUCUCAUCACUCACUGAUUAGGUGACAUCUGAGGUCGUCGGCCUCAGGCCUUGCUAGUUUGGCAAGCUAGAGGUUCUAGCUUAUCGACGAGGCUUGAGCUUGACGGUUGUGCUUGCCCCAUUUCCUGUCCUUUCCACUGUCCUUCACUGCCGUGUGCUGAUUCGCCUCUCUCUCUCUCUCUCUCUCUCUCUCUCUCUUUCUCUCUCCAUAUAUAUACAUAUGAACAGAACGAAUCACGCUCUGAAUCACAGUCCUCUCUUCGAAAGGCGUCAAUUUUAAGCAGUUUUAGCCACACCCAUUUCUUGCAAUGGCGGCAAUCGAAGAAGCAAAGCGUCGAGACGGUCCCGACUUCUCUGCGCUGCCCGAAGGGUGCAUCGCGAGAGUCGUCUCCCUCACGAGCCCCGCCGACGCGUGCAGGCUCGCAACCCUGUCGCCGGCUUUCAAGUCGGCAUGCGAUUCCGACGUGGUCUGGGCCUCGUUCUUGCCGCCGGAGCGCCCCCAGACGGUCUCCCGGAGCGUUUCGUCGCUGAGGAGCUCUACUUCAGCCUCUGCGAUGACCCGGUUCUCAUCGGCGAUGGCAAAAUGGAAGUCAACCCGCCGUCUUCCCACCUUAAAUCGCCUCUUCCUAUUCUUUUUGUACCAUCCUUUUUUCUUUUGGCGGAAUUGAGGGGGUGAUGUGCAUCUUUAGAGGUGAUGUGCCGUCGCCUGCACGUUUCCAAACACUGCAAAUUUGGCUGGCCUAAACAAAAAUAAAUAAAUUGUUCUUUCAUUGUCGAGUAGUCGACUUGAAAGGCGGUGUCAAAUGGGUUGGAGCAAGGAAUUGAUAGAUAUAUUGACCGACUCAAUAUAAUGUAGUGCAUCCUUAGAGGUGAUCUGUAUCUGGCUUUAAGGCUGUCUGCUGCAUUUUUGUCGAUUCGGAGUUCGGAGAGAGUCUGCUUUUCGUUUCCGGUUAAUUGCUCUAAAUCCUUCUGAACUUUGUUAGCAUUUUCUCAUUAGCCCCUGAACUUUUAAAUCGGCACCGUUGAAUAGUGGCCAUGUCACUUUGAAAAGUUAACGAUUACACCCGAAUCUUGAAUUUUUCGUUGCCGUUGUUAGUGUUCCACCUGCAAAGCCGGUAAGUGUUACCUAUAAAUGGAUUGACUCAAUUCUUAUUGACCAAAAUAGCCUUUGCUGAAUUUUCUUGACUUCAUCAAUUAUGUAUCUUCUCUAUUGUAUUGACUUUAUUAACCAUGUGAUAGAGAUCUUUUGGUAUAAAACAAACAAUAGUAAGGAAGUGUAUUUUCAUGUGACAUUUAAUGCCUAUAUAGAUAGAAUAACUAGCGACUACAACAAAACAUCAUUGUUUAUGGGGAAAUUUGUAACUUUACAAACUUUUCAAGGGUCAUCAUGCAAUGGUUCUGAAGUUGAGGUGGUCUUGAAAGAUCAUCCCUUCUAUUUUCUUUUGAUCAAAUAUCAUGGUUAUUGCUUUUAUUCAACGUUAAACAUGUUUUCCUACUUCAAAUUUUGGCGAAAAAGUCACAUAAACAACUUUUGCAUAAAAAGGCCAAGACAAAAUGCUCUCACUAUUUUAUUGGAAAGGGGGCAGCACGGAUGGUGGAAUAAGUGCUAAGCUUUAUUGUUUUGUGCAUACUAUAUUCGCUGAAACAGUGAAUUGUUUUCUUAAGAUGAGGUCGGUCCAACUUAUUGUUGCUUAUGUGAAUCUAACAUGCUUUGCAGAGCUUUUCACUGGAUAGGCACAGUGGGAAGAAAUGUAUCAUGCUCUCUGCAAGGGCCCUAUCUAUAAUAUGGGGUGAUACUCCAAUUUACUGGUCAUGGACUUGCAUGCCCAUCUCCAGGUAAUACAUUUAUUUCUCCACUCUCGCCUUCAUGAAGAAAAUGUACAUAACAUUAAUUUGUUUUGUCCCUAAAUAAAUCCUCUCUUGUUUCACCCUCAGGGUGAUGAUCUUAUGGAAGGUCCUUGUGAAUGAACAGGUUUGCAGAAGUGGCUGAGCUCAUUGAUGUAUGCUGGCUCGAAAUCAGAGGCAGAAUUAGUUCUUGCAUGCUGUUGCCUGGGACCCAUUAUGCAGCGUACUUGGUAUUCAAAAUUACCCCAAGAUCUUAUGGAUUUGAAUUACUACCUGUUGAGGUGGGAGUUGGAUUUGCUGGUGAUGAUGCGGGCAAGCAUGAACGCUCAGUUUACUUUUUCGGAGAGAACCAUACACGCAGACGGCGGACCAGGCGGAAGCACGCUGGCAGGUCACUGAUGCUUGCACCUGCCUAUGGGAGUGGGAACUAUCCUAAAGAGAGAUGAGAUGGGUGGUCAGAGAUAGAGUUAGGUGAGUUCUUGACGAAGGAAGGACAAGAUGGGGAGGUUGAAAUGAGAGUCAUGGAGACGAAGCGGGGUAACUGGAAGGCCGGGCUGGUUGUGGAAGGGAUCGAAAUUAGGCCCAAGGAUAGGAAAUAAAAGCGCCUUUAUGAAGGGCAUGUGCAAGUUUGUAUGUACUGUCCCUUGAUUAAGAGCUUUUUCUCUCUGUUUUGCUGUUGUUCUUUCCAUGUUCCUUUAUCAAUAUUUAGUAGCUUUCCACCUAAUCAGAAAGCAUUCCUGUGAUCAAUAUCGACUUUUAUCAAUUUUUGGUAGAUUUCUACCAAUUCAUGAAGUGUAUGUUUUUGAUCUGGUAAUGCCUUCUGCAGAAAUGAUGGAACUUAGAUGUAGACUUCAGUAAAGUCAACACAGAUGCUCAAACACUCUGAUUGGUUUCUUUUAAAACAUCUGCAAAAUUAUUCCUCAUCUUCCCAUUCCAACUAUCUCUUUUGGUAUUGACGGGAAUGUAAGACUCCAUUGAAAAUAUAUGAAUGCAAUUUGUGUGAUGCGCUGGUGCUGGCGCCUCUUCCAGGAUAAAGGAAAGACUUAGAAAAGCAGAGUCAAAGCCAAUGACUAGCUGUAAUCACAUAUCCUACCGUCAACAUCCAUACGUUCACAACAAGCAGUUACCACUGCUCAUUCACAUUAAUCUAGACUGAAAGGUUACCACUGCAAUGUCCCUCAAACUCAAUGCCAGUCCUUCAUGACCUUUCGAUUCACCUAACUGUACAACUCACUGGUCACCAUUGCUCUGCUGCUUGGCUCAGAUGCCUUGGACAUAGCCACCAUCAACAACGUCAAAUCCACUGCCAAAAAGAUAAGUUAUGGUAACUAUGAGAUUUUAUAGGACCACUGUUUACUAUUUUAAAAGUUUAAGCUGUUAAAUGAAGGCGUGAUUUAAUAUUUAAAUUAUUCUAGCACUCCCCCUCAUGCUUACUUGGUUUUUUUUUUUUGUUUUAGUACUAAGCAUGAAUGUAUUUAAUUAGGGAGAUAAAUAGGAAUCUAGAAAGAUUCAAAUUAGAACCUCAUGCUCUAAUAUUAUGUGAGAUUUUAUGGGACUACUGCCAACUGUUCUAAAAUCUUAAGCUAUUAGAUAAAAGCGUGGUUUAAUAUUUAAAUUAUUGUAAUGGUAACUUGGUCAUGGUUCCAGUUUCUUGCUAUUACACUGGAAGAAUUUGCUUGCAUCAGGCCUCUUACACUGUGGCCAAGGGUGACACCUAUUUGCCCACAGUCAGUGAUACAUUCCAAGGCCUGUCCUCUUGCCAGGCUCUACUUGAUCAGAACUACCAUACAAAUGAGGAUUUUGUUGUAGAUGCACAGCUGAUAGUUCCACUAAGAUGCGCAUGCCCAAGUACCAACGAGAGAGCUAAUGGGGUUAAAUCCUUGCUUACAUAUUUGGUGAUGCUGGGCAAUUCUGGGAAUCCAACUACAGAAAGCUUUGGUGUCACUGUGCAAAGUGUUAUGGAGCAAAUAUGAUGACCGAACCCGAUCUAAUAUAACCUUUAUCAAACAUUCUCAUUCCCCUCACUUGUGCAGAAGAUUCCAAGAGUCAACUUCUGCUAUUGUCCCAGUGUAUAUGCUGAAGGUAGGCCAGGAAAUGACCUCAAUUGCAUGCCUGACAGGAAGAAGUUCCCUUUCAGGCUGGUUCUUGCAAUAGGUAGUCAUCAAAUCUAUCUUCUAAUUCUGUCCAGCAACACUUCCUGUCUGAUUGGAAGGGGCAGUUAGAAAAACAAUGCAUCCAAUACUAAAGAAAAAACUUGAGUGAGAAAUUAUUCCAUUUGCUUACACGCGUUUUUGCACAUUUGCAUACCACUCUUAGGACUGUUGCACUAUCUUUACACUCAUGUACACCAAGCCUUUUUGCUCUCCGCAUCUGAUCUGUUUGGCACCUUCUUGUCUAGCUCUAAUCCUCCAUUUGACGCACUUGAUCUCUCUGAUUCAUCAUAGCUUAUAGAUUGAAAUACAACACGUGAAUCUCAUUUGCUGUCUAUUUGUGUUGUGACUUCAUGCACUUCUUCAAUUGCAACAUGACAUUGUUAAGUCAUGGUUUAUUCUCUCCUAAGCUAUGUUUUGUGAUUGAAUGCUGUCACGACUAGCGAUGUUGCAUUGAUGUGACAGUACAGCUUUAGGAUAGGCAAAGUGAUCAAGCAGGCAGCAAAUUUUAAAUACAGAUGGCCUCCUUGUGAAUUUUCUUCCAGAGAAAAGUGAUGUAGAAGAGAGUUAUUAUCUACUUCAAAAAUACAUAGGUUGACUUGGGAGAGUAUGUAGCAUUCUGACAUGCUCCAUAUAUAGGAAUUGUGAAACUGGAUUGGUCAUGUCAGGCAAAUUAUUUUGAGAAUUUUGACUAGACGAAACUAGAAUGUGUUAACUCACAGUUUUCUUAGACUUAUUGUUUGCUUUAGGUGCUGCCAUUGGUAUUGGAUUCUUGUGUCUUUCGCAUUUCAGCUAUUGCCUAUACAGAUAUCUAAGGAAGCAAAGAGACAGAAUUGUCAAGGAGAAACUGUUCAAGCAAAAUGGUGGUUUGCGGUUGCAACAAAAUUUCUCACUUUUAUGGAAGAGACAGAAGAGCAACAAUAUUUUCCAAAGAAGAUCUGCGAAGCAUGACAAAUAACUACAGCCGGAGCCAGUUUCUUGGUCAAGGAGGGUUCAGCACAGUUUACAAAGGGAUGCUACCAGAUGGUGCCAUAGUUGCUGUGAAGAAGUCAAAGACCAUCAGCAGGGGCCAAACUGAGCAUUUUAUUAAUGAAGUGGUUGUUCUGUCACAGGUUAAUCAUCAGUACAUUGUAAAAUUGAUAGGAUGUUGUUUGAAGACUAAGUUUCCUCUACUAGUAUAUGAAUUCAUCCCUAAUGGUGCCCUUUCAUCAGCAGGAUAACUCUGGAAGGCUGGCAUUGAAUCACAUGGGAUGUCGCUGGAGCAGUAGCAUUCAAAACUCACCUGACAGGGCUGUGCAAGGCACCUUUGGAUACUUGGACGGGAAUAUAUCCAAUCUAGUCAGUUCACAGGUAAAAGUGACACUUACAGUUUCGGAAAUGUGCUAAUUGAGUGCAGAAGCCAACAUCCUUCUCGGGAGAUAAUGAAGGGUGACAUCUAGUUGCUACCUUUAUCUUGCUUAUGAAGGAACACUGUUUGUCAGACAUCGUAGAUCCUGUUGUGGCCAAUGAAGCAAAGGCAGAGGAAGUUAUUGCAAUAGCAAUGCUUGCCAUGAGGUGUUUGAGAUUGACUGGGAGAAAGAGGCCUACCAUGAGAGAGGUUGCCAUGGAGAGGAAAUCUUAAAGUUUCUCUCAGACCAGCCAAAAUCCUUGUGCAUUUGAAGAGGGACUACCUGCUGAAGCCAAUGAAGAAUCAAUAGAUAGCACAUCCCUGUCACUAGAACUGGUACCAAUC